rnacentral:rRNA from 1 species
GACGAACGCUGGCGGCGUGCUUAACACAUGCAAGUCGAACGGUGAACCUCUUCGGAGGGGAUCAGUGGCGAACGGGUGAGUAACACGUGGGCAACCUGCCCCCGGCUCUGGGAUAACUCCAAGAAAUUGGGGCUAAUACCGGAUGUUCACCGCUUCCCGCAUGGGUGGUGGUGGAAAGGGUUUCCGGCUGGGGAUGGGCCCGCGGCCUAUCAGCUUGUUGGUGGGGUAGUGGCCUACCAAGGCGACGACGGGUAGCCGGCCUGAGAGGGUGACCGGCCACACUGGGACUGAGACACGGCCCAGACUCCUACGGGAGGCAGCAGUGGGGAAUGUUGCGCAAUGGGCGGAAGCCUGACGCAGCGACGCCGCGUGGGGGAUGACGGCCUUCGGGUUGUAAACCUCUUUCAGCAGGGACGAAGCGCAAGUGACGGUACCUGCAGAAGAAGCACCGGCCAACUACGUG